rnacentral:rRNA from 1 species
UACGUAGGGUGCAAGCGUUAUUCGGAAUUACUGGGCGUAAAGCGUGCGCAGGCGGCUUUGCAAGACAGAUGUGAAAUCCCCGGGCUUAACCUGGGAACUGCAUUUGUGACUGCAUGGCUAGAGUGCGGCGGAGGUGGAUGGAAUUCCGCGUGUAGCAGUGAAAUGCGUAGAUAUGCGGAGGAACACCGAUUGCGAAGGCAAUCCACUGCGCCUGUACUGACGCUCAUGCACGAAAGCGUGGGGAGCAAACAGG